GUUGAUAUCGGAAGGAACGCCGAAAGCGAAAGCAGCUAACUAUAGAAUACUUGACGAUGAGGGACGACAGUUUGGGGAGCAAACAGGAUUAGAUACCCUGGUAGUCCAAACCGUAAAUUAUGCUUGCUAGAUGUUUUUAUCAGUUUACUGGUAGGAGUGUCGUAAUCUAACGAGUUAAGCAAGCCGCCUGGGUAGUAUAUUCGCAAGAAUGAAACUCAAAGGGAUAGGCGGGGGAACACACAAGCAGUGGAUUAUCUAGAUUAAUUGGAUAAUAAGCCAAGAAUCUUACCUAGGAUUGACAUGUAUUGUGUCUCAGGUGAAAGCCUGAUAUCCGUAGCAAUACGGAGCUUUACACAGGUGGUGCAUGGUCGUCGUCAGCUCGUGCCGCAAGGUGUCUAGUUAAGUCUGGAAACGAGCGCAACCCUCGUGUUUAGUUAGUAUGUCUAAACAGACUGCUCGGGUAACCGAGAGGAAGGAGAGGAUGACGUCAGAUCCUCAUGCCCCUUACACCUAGGGCCUCAUAGAUAAUACAAUGGGUAGGUACAGCGAGAAGCGAAACCGCGAGGUGGAGCAAAUCUUUAAAACUGCCCUUAGUUCGGAUUGUACUCUGGAACUCGAGUACAUGAAGUUGGAAUUGCUAGUAAUGGCAGAUCAGCCAUGCUGCCGUGAAUACGUCCCUGUUCCUUGCACUCACCGCCCGUCAAACCAUGGGAGCUGAGGCUCUUUGAAGACUCAUUAUAUGGGUUAAGGAGGGAAUCAGUGACUGGGGUUAAGUCGUAACAAGGCAUCCCUACCGGAAGGUGGGGAUA
rnacentral:rRNA from 1 species